rnacentral:lncRNA from 1 species
UUCAGUGUGUGUGUGUCUCCCUCCCUCAAAAAGAAAAAAGCAUAGUUCAGUGACUACCACUUAGAAUUAUGGCACAAUUUCACUACUUCGGUUGCUUUCACUUAAUCUAUCGAACGACAUCAACAACUCUGAAACAAACCACUUGGCAAUUGGAAUUUGACGGCAUCACGAUUGAAUGUCCAAAUUCCAUCACUGUAAAGACAAAGUAAAGCUCGAAGCACUCACGCUCCACCGAUGUGCCCUCUUGAUGUGCUCGUCUCACCAGAAUGCAGUGGCCAAGAAGCCAAAAGUGUCUCUGC